AAAAAAAAUUCAUAUUACAAGAACACAUUGGUAUUGAAGGAACUAGAUACUGUUCCGAAAUAUCACUUACUCGAACCGUCCUGACCGCGUAGCUCGGUUGGAAGAGCAUUGGGCUGGUAUUCCAAAGGUCGUAGGUUCGAAUCCCACCGCGGCCGGGCAUAUUUUUCAAGCUCGCCCGGUGUGGAUAUGCACUCAGAGUAACAUCACAAACAUAUUAUUCACCUGAGUACACAACACCAACACAAAAAAAAAAAAAUUCAUAUUACAAGAACACAUUGGUAUUGAAGGAACUAGAUACUGUUCCGAAAUAUCACUUACUCGAACCGUCCUGACCGCGUAGCUCAGUUGGAAGAGCAUUGGGCUAGUAUUCCAAAGGUCGUAGGUUCGAAUUCCACCGUGGCCGGGCAUAUUUUUCAAGCUCGCCCGGUGUGGAUAUGCACUCAGAGUAACAUCACAAACAUAUUAUUCACCUGAGCACACAACACCAGCACAGAAAAAAUUCAUAUUACAAGAACACAUUGGUAUUGAAGGAACUAGAUACUGUUCCGAAAUAUCACUUACUCCAACCGUCCUGACCGCGUAGCUCAGUUGGAAGAGCAUUGGGCUAGUAUUCCAAAGGUCGUAGGUUCGAAUCCACCGUGGCCGGGCAUAUUUUUCAA